rnacentral:lncRNA from 1 species
AUGAUGAGCAAAUCUUUUUUAAAAAAUAGUAAUAAUGAUAAUAAUAAAAGUGUAGCAUGUCCCAACCCGGAGGUGCUUCGGUUGCAAGCCAUAUGGAGUUUUAAGACCCUAAAGAGCAGGUCUCGGAAAGGGCAGCGCGCCGCGCGAUCCCAGGCGCGCUUCCUCGGAAGUAAGUCGGAGCGCGCCAGGGAUCCACGCGCCAGCAAGGCAGGGGGUAUGAGCGCACCCCCGGAUUCGCACCGCAGGCAAGCCCAGGCUGGCGCUUUUGCGCCCAAGAGAGGCGCGAGGCCCUUUGCUCGCAGCUGCAGGACGGACGGACGCACACAGACACAGACACACACACACCCGAUACCUUUCCAGCCGUUUGCAAACCGUCCGUUUCCCCCCCCCCCAGGUUCCCCUCACCUCUCAGCAGCAGCAGCAGCAACGCGGGCGAAAGGAGCGGUGACCUUGCAGCCAAAUUCCUCGCCCGAGUCGGAAACGAAGCCCUGGGCUUCUCCUCCUUUUCUUCUUCUUCCUCCUCCUCCUCCUCUUCCUCCCAGCUGGGGGGGGCGCGAGCCAGAGGCGAGAGGAACCAUCCGGCGAAGGCUCUCGAGCCCGGGCUCUCAAAGCCCAGCCUUGCCCGGUCGGCGAGCGCUUCAGGGAGGCGGCGGCGGCGACGGCGGCGCAAAAGGCGCCCCAAAGGGGAAGCCCGCCCCGGCUCUUCUCCUCGCCGUCAGCGGCCGCCUCUGCUUCUCCCGGCCGGCGUUCGGGCUCGGCUGCCCGGGGCAGUGCGCAGGUGGGGCCGGGCGGCGGCUGCUGUUGCUUCCUCCGCGAGAGGCUGGAGAGGAGCCGCCGGCGUCGCCUUCUCCACCCGGAGGCAGCUGGCCGAGCGAGGCGAAAGGGGCGAGCGAGAAGCGGAGCGGCCUCCGGAGGCCGAGCGGGGGACGCUACUGGUGGCCGGGAGGCGGCGACGGGCUCUGCGGGCCUCGGAACGCCAGCCCUCGGCGCCGCUGAGCGCUUCCUGCCGGAGAGAGAGAAGGGCGCUUGCUAGGCGGCCGCCGGUCGCUUCGCGCCUAUGUUGACUCCAGGAUGCGAGCGGAGGCGUGGCUUGCCGCUGCCACCCGCCUAGUCAUCGCCCGUGGCGGAGGAGGGAUUCGAACCCGGGACUUCAGACUCCUGGUCCCUCCUGUUCCCCGCUGGGUCUCAAUGGAGGACCUGCAUUGGCUCUCUCGCGCGCUCUCUGUCUCCUGCCAACCGAGCUUCACCUCCUCUUACCUGUAGAGGGAACCUGCGUAAAAUUACCAUUACAGUAUUUCAUUGGUACCUAGUGCAUCUUAUUACUUGGACAGAUAAAUGCCUAGAAAACUUCACUCUCAAUGGAUCACAACAAGGGGAGAGGCAACUGCAUAAGGAAAGAAGAGAGCUCGUGAAUUGCUCCAGGCAGGAGAGGGAUUCAAGUUCCUACAAUAGUGUAUUCCUUGAUCUGAACACCAGUGAACUCCUCAUUUUUCACUUUGAUUUACACGGUAGAACUGCUCUCCUAGGAAUGCAUCUUGCAGCGGUCAUUUCCCCCGUCAUAACAUCCUCUUUAUUGAAUCGCAGCUCUUCUGCCCUCUUCCAUUUUCCACCAAGUUGUGUCAAUUGAGGAGUUUGUUCUUUGGUGGGUCAUAGGAAAAUGAAGUGCCUGGUCCGCAUUGAUCAGCUAACCCAGUAUUUCAACAUGGACUGCCAGUGGUUUUCCAAGGUUUCAGUCACUAUUGUUUUCCUUUAAGUAAACAAAAACAAACCAGCAAUGUUUCGCUCAGAUUUAUAAUCGGACCAAAAAAUAAAAAACAAAUCACCAAAAAAAAAAGCUAUUUA